AGUGAACGCUGGCGGUAGGCCUAACACAUGCAAGUCGAACGGCAGCACAGUAAGAGCUUGCUCUUACGGGUGGCGAGUGGCGGACGGGUGAGGCAUACAUCGGAAUCUACUUUUUCGUGGGGGAUAACGUAGGGAAACUUACGCUAAUACCGCAUACGACCUACGGGUGAAAGCAGUGGAUCUUCGGACCUUUCGCGAUUGAAUGAGCCGAUGUCGGAUUAGCUAGUUGGCGGGGUAAAGGCCCACCAAGGCAACGAUCCGUAGCUGACCUGAGAGGAUGAUCAGCCACACUGGAACUGAGACACGGUCCAGACUCCUACGGGAGGCAGCAGUAGGGAAUAUUGGACAAUGGGCGAAAGCCUGAUCCAGCAAUACCGCGUGGGUGAAGAAGGCCUUCGGGUUGUAAAGCCCUUUUGUUGGGAAAGAAAAGCAGCAGGUGAAUACCCCGCUGUUCUGACGGUACCCAAAGAAUAAGCACCGGCUAACUUCGUG
rnacentral:rRNA from 1 species